GAGUUUGAUCCUGGCUCAGAGCGAACGCUGGCGGCAGGCCUAACACAUGCAAGUCGAACGGCUCUUCGGAGCAGUGGCGGACGGGUGAGUAACACGUGGGAACGUGCCCUUUGGUACGGAACAACUGAGGGAAACUUCAGCUAAUACCGUAUGUGCCCUAUGGGGGAAAGAUUUAUCGCCAAAGGAGCGGCCCGCGUUGGAUUAGGUAGUUGGUGGGGUAAAGGCUCACCAAGCCUGCGAUCCAUAGCUGGUCUGAGAGGAUGAUCAGCCACACUGGGACUGAGACACGGCCCAGACUCCUACGGGAGGCAGCAGUGGGGAAUCUUGCGCAAUGGGCGAAAGCCUGACGCAGCCAUGCCGCGUGAACGAUGAAGGUCUUAGGAUUGUAAAAUUCUUUCACCGGGGAAGAUAAUGACGGUACCCGGAGAAGAAGCCCCGGCUAACUUCGUGCCAGCAGCCGCGGUAAU
rnacentral:rRNA from 1 species